rnacentral:rRNA from 1 species
UUGGAGGGCAAGUCUGGUGCCAGCAGUCGCGGUAAUUCCAGCUCCAAUAGCGUAUAUUAAAGUUGUUGCAGUUAAAAAGCUCGUAGUUGAAUUUCGGGGUCAGUAGGCUGGUCGUGCCUCAGGUACGUACUGGUCUUACUGAUUCCUCCUUCCUGACGAACCGUAAUGCCAUUAAUUUGGUGUUGCGGGGAAUCUGGACUGUUACUUUGAAAAAAUUAGAGUGUUUAAAGCAGGCUAACGCUUGAAUACAUUAGCAUGGAAUAAUGAAAUAGGACGAUCGAUCCUAUUUUGUUGGUUUCUAGGAUUGACGUAAUGAUUAAUAGGGAUAGUUGGGGGCAUUAGUAUUCAAUUGUCAGAGGUGAAAUUCUUGGAUUUAUUGAAGACUAACUACUGCGAAAGCAUUUGCCAAGGAUGUUUUCAUUAAUCAAGAACGAAAGUUAGGGGAUCGAAGACGAUCAGAUACCGUCGUAGUCUUAACCAUAAACUAUGCCGACUAGGGAUCGGAUGAUGUUAAUUUUUUAAUGACUCAUUCGGCGCCUUACGGGAAA